AAUAACAGAGAAACAGUCCCUCAAUCACCAAUCGAUCGAAAUUACUACUGUGUGCAAACCUCAGAUAGCCAUACACAUAUUCAAUUUAUCUGUCAGAAAUUCUUUUUUAAGAAUUAAACAAUCUAGUGUGUGAGUAGCAGGCAGCAAUACAGUUCUGCCUCUGUAGGAGUCAGGCAUGCAGUUACAGACCAACAGCUUCGUGGAAGUGAGUGGAGUCAUACUUGGGUUUGAAAUGUUGCAUUUUUUUUUAAGUGUACAGUUAAUUUCUUUUCUUUUCUUUUCUUUUCUUUUGUAAGAUGGAGCCUCGCUCUGUUGCUCAGGCUUGAGUGCAGUGGCACGGUCUUGGCUCACUGCAACCUCUCUCUCCUGGGUUCAAGUGAUUCUUUUGCCUCAGCCUCCAGAGUAGCUGGGAUUAUAGGCACGUGCCACCACGCCUGGCUAAUUUUUGUAUUUUUAGUAGAGAUGGGGUUUCACCGCAUUGGCUAGGCUGGUCUUGAACUCUUGACCUUGUGAUCCGCCCGCCUCAGCCUCCCAAAGUGCUGGGAUUACAGGUGAGAGCCACCGCACCCAGCCAAAUGUAUGAUUAAUUUCUAAACUGUGAUUGAAUUUGUAACAGAAAGCCCAGCCCUGCAACUGGACUCUGAUUUAGACAAUCAUAAAGGACUCGUAUUUCCUUUGGAAUCUUAUGGCAUGUGGCAUGUACAAAAAUGUCCCAACAGGAAGAGGAGGGAAGAGGAGGAAGUGUAUGGAUAGUUAGAUAAAGUAUGGAAAUUGUCAUAAACUCGCCUCCCAUCCCUUCCCACUCCACACACACACAGAGUGACCAACUUCUUUUUCCCAUAUGAUGAUAGCACUCGUAACUGCUGGGGCUUUGCUCUGCGCUGAAGCACUCCGGAUGUUCUGCAGGCUAUACAAAAAUGGGAAUUGAUUUCUACUUGGAUAAAGGACACCACCUCUCUUCUUCAGGAAAACUGCUUCUCGCACCCUCUAACCAUCCGGUGCAAAUGAUGGCUGCCAAUCCUCCACUCCCAUCCAGGGCCUCUGAUCCGGGCUAAGCCAGCUGGUCUUCUCCUGGGACUCUUCAGCUGGCAUCAAGCUUGGGGU
rnacentral:lncRNA from 1 species